GAUGAACGCUGGCGGCGUGCUUAAUACAUGCAAGUCGAGCGAACGGACCCGAAGCUUGCUUCUCUGACGUUAGCGGCGGACGUGUGAGUAACACGUGUAUAACCUCCCUAUCAUUCUGGUAUAACUUCGGGAAACCGUAUCUUAUACCGGAUAAUCUCUUGAACCGCAGUGUUCAAUAGUGAAAGACGGUCUUGCUGUCUCUUCUCGAUGCAUCCGCGCUGCAUUAGCUAGUUGGUAAGGUAACGGCUUACCAAGGCAACGAUGCAUAGCCGACCGGAGAGGGUGAUCGGCCACACUGGAACUGAGACACGGUCCAGACUCCUACGGGAGGCAGCAGUAGGGAAUCUUCCGCAAUGGGCGAAAGCCUGACGGAGCAACGCCGCGUGAGUGAUGAAGGUCUUCGGAUCGUAAAACUCUGUUAUUAGGGAAGAACAUAUGUGUAAGUAACUGUGCACAUCUUGACGGUACCCAAUCAGAAAGCCACGGCUAACUACGUG
rnacentral:rRNA from 1 species